rnacentral:lncRNA from 1 species
UCCAGCCAUCGCUCAACCAGUUAUAACCAGCUGUCAGGGUUGGGAAGGAAACCAGGAUAAACCAGUGUGGUGUCGCCUUCCCAGAUCUGCUGGCAGGGUGGCACAGCAGGCUGGGAGGUAGGAGCUGCUCAGACCCCACCUCGCUGCAGUGUUAGUGGGUGAAUUUUAAUAUUCAUCAUUCCAAGGCUGCUCAUUUUACUGACAGAAAGAAGGGAUCAGCUGGGAAGUGGCGGCCGCUGCAGGGAAGGCAAUGCAGAAGGAUAAAGCCAAGAACAUAAUAGAAAACAUUUAGAGAUCCACAAGUCAAAAAUCACUAUAAUCACUUUGUCUGCCCCCUUUCUCAGCCUUUUGUUGUGCUCAGCUUUUUCCACUUUCCGGAAUCCUCCUGAAGCAGCCAAAGCAGCCACAGCCACAAGAGGCCAGCCAGGACUCAAUCCUGCUCAGGCACCACUGCUUCUACCCCUCUGUGUUCUGUUUUUCUCUGAACAGAAAAUAUCCCUGAUCGUCUGCCUGGGCUGAGGAAUCUGCAGAGAGCACCUUCCAGGAAUGCUCUCACAUAUCUUGUAAAGAUUAGGCACAAAAAGUUUCAUUACAGGAUAAAAAUCUCCCAGCCACAACAAUGUGGCACAACUGCAAUGAGGAGCUGGGAAGGAAAGAGAAUGGAGAGAGCCCACUCUGGUAUGGGACAAGGGGGAUUGAUUUAAAAGUAUAUUAUAGAAAGUUUUCAUUGCAUAGUAAAUACUUGCAAUGCCUAUGAAACACCUUAGAAAAAUAGAAAUGUCUAAGUAAUGAAAAGAUUAUAAAAUUAUGAUACCUGUGCUGUUGAGUAUCCAUUUUUUUAUGCAUGAGGUAGCUCAUGAGGCAGCCAGGCAGCACGCGUGACCUGUAAUCAGCAGGAGAUGCUUUUGGCAGGGAUGGAUUAGUCAUUCACCCCUGUGCUCUGGUGACAUCUCCUCUGAGAAAGGUUUGCUAGGGUAGCCUCACCAGCUCCAGUGCUAAGAGAACAUAUGCAAUUUUGAUGCAGAACUUCAUAUUUGACCAAAUUUAUUUUUUUUUAAAUUUCAGCAUUUGGGUAGAUUCUUACUUACAUGACUUUGCCUAUUAAUUUCUCAGUCUCCUUGCCAGUCUCCCUGUUUUCAGACUUCAACUUUUACAACCCAUAAGAGCAACCAAAAAAAAAGAUCAAUUUAAUCAAAAUAUAACAGGCUUUUUAAAAUUUUCAAUUUACACUGCAGACCCAAAAAUACUAAGUUUUUUGAAAAAUUAAGCAUUUUAAAUUCAGUUUUGAUUUUAAGUCAAAUAGAUUGAUUUAAUUGCUACGGGAAAAGUAAUCUCUAAAUAUUUAUAUCAUAUGAAAUAAUUAUGCAACCACUGUCCUUGGACGGAUAAUAUUCUGCUAAGAUCUGCAUUCAAUUAUUUAGCUGGUGCUACAGAAAGUGAUUAUUCCUUUUACUUGAGCAGUUGCUUAAAAAAACUUGAAGUUGUUCUGAGAAUUAAUUUUCAACUAGAGAACUGUUUUGAGACGUGUGUCCUCAUGGAGGCUGGGAAUUGUAACCCUCUGAUCCACGCCAGUGGUUCUUCCUCCAGCACUCGCAGUUGGUUUUAUUUAACAUUUCAUUUUUUAGGAGUACUUCUACUGCCAUGAGCAGGGUCUGUUUAUAAGGACAGUGCAGUCCAAUGUGGAUGACACUCCCAGGGAGCAGGAAGGACCAGGUGUCCUGGCAGAGUCUCCAGUGCAUGCUCUGGGCAGGAAGUGCAGAUCCAGGUGUGUGUGGAGAAGGGGAACACAUGGGUGUGCUCCAGCUGGAGCAGCCCAGCUCCCUGCAGGAUAUUCCCCCUGCUCUUUGGGUGAAAGAAAACCAAGUGCUGGGCCCCGCACUGAUGAUGAGAAUUUACUUUCCCCUGUCCCAGACCAGGGUAG